rnacentral:lncRNA from 1 species
UGGUGACGAGGAGGAGGACACAGAGCCAUUGGCCGACCACUUUCUCGAUGGUAGCGAUGAUGAAGAGGAACCUUUGGGUUCUGAUUCUGACUCUGAUGGAUUUGAUCUCGCAAUGGCAGGAUCUGGUAAAAGUAAAGCUAUUGAUGAAGAACGUAAAAGGCAGGAGCAAGAUGCAAAAGAUGAACUACAUAUGAACAUAAAGGAACAACCUGACAAGUUUCGUCUACCAACCAAAAAGAUUCAAUCUUUUGGAAUUUUACAAAUCAAAUUCAUUCCUUUUUUAACAUUUUAUUUUGCAAUUGUUGGUUGGUUUAUGUUGAAAAGAUCAAUGGAGCAUUAUAAGUUUAGGUGUCU